rnacentral:rRNA from 1 species
GAUGAACGCUGGCGGCGUGCCUAAUACAUGCAAGUCGAGCGAACGGACGAGAAGCUUGCUUCUCUGAUGUUAGCGGCGGACGGGUGAGUAACACGUGGAUAACCUACCUAUAAGACUGGGAUAACUUCGGGAAACCGGAGCUAAUACCGGAUAAUAUUUUGAACCGCAUGGUUCAGAAGUGAAAGACGGUCUUGCUGUCACUUAUAGAUGGAUCCGCGCUGCAUUAGCUAGUUGGUAAGGUAACGGCUUACCAAGGCAACGAUGCAUAGCCGACCUGAGAGGGUGAUCGGCCACACUGGAACUGAGACACGGUCCAAACUCCUUAGGGAGGCAGCAGUAGGGAAACUUCCGCAAUGGGCGAAAGCCUGACGGAGCAACGCCGCGUGAGGGAUGAAGGGCUUCGGAUCGUAAAACUCUUUUAUUAGGGAAGAACAUAUGUGUAAGUAACUGUGCACAUCUUGACGGUACCUAAUCAGAAAGCCACGGCUAACUACGUG